rnacentral:rRNA from 1 species
UACGUAGGUGGCAAGCGUUGUCCGGAUUUACUGGGCGUAAAGAGCGCGCAGGCGGUCGGAUCAGUCGAAUGUGAAAGCCCCCGGCUCAACUGGGGAGGGUCAUUCGAUACUGUCCGACUCGAAGGCAGGAGAGGGAAGCGGAAUUCCCGGUGUAGUGGUGAAAUGCGUAGAUAUCGGGAGGAACACCAGUGGCGAAGGCGGCUCUCUGGCCAUCAACUGACGCUGAGACGCGAAAGCGUGGGGAGCAAACAGG